UACGUAGGGGGCUAGCGUUGUCCGGAAUCAUUGGGCGUAAAGCGCGUGUAGGCGGUCCGGUAAGUCCGCUGUGAAAGUCAAGGGCUCAACCCUUGAAUGCCGGUUGAUACUGUCGGGCUAGAGUCCGGAAGAGGCGAGUGGAAUUCCCGGUGUAGCGGUGAAAUGCGCAGAUAUCGGGAGGAACACCAAUGGCGAAGGCAGCUCGCUGGGACGGUACUGACGCUGAGACGCGAAAGCGUGGGGAGCAAACAGG
rnacentral:rRNA from 1 species